rnacentral:rRNA from 1 species
GAUGAACGCUGGCGGCGUGCCUAACACAUGCAAGUCGAACGAAGCACUUUUUUACGAUUUCUUCGGAAUGACGGUUUUGUGACUGAGUGGCGGACGGGUGAGUAACGCGUGGAUAACCUGCCUCAUACAGGGGGAUAACAGCCGGAAACGGCUGCUAAUACCGCAUAAGCGCACGGUACCGCAUGGUACAGUGUGAAAAAACUCCGGUGGUAUGGGAUGGAUCCGCGUCUGAUUAGCCAGUUGGCGGGGUAACGGGCCCACCAAAGCGACGAUCAGUAGCCGACCUGAGAGGGUGACCGGCCACAUUGGGACUGAGACACGGGCCCAGACUCCUACGGGAGGCAGCAGUGGGGGAUAUUGCACAAUGGGGGAAACCCUGAUGCAGCGACGCCGCGUGAGGGAAGAAGGUUUUCGGAUUGUAAACCUCUGUCUUCGGUGACGAAAAUGACGGUAGCCGAGGAGGAAGCCACGGCUAACUACGUG